rnacentral:rRNA from 1 species
GAAGACUAUACUGUCUCCCUACUCCAAUCAGUGAAACUGAUCUCCCCGUGAAAAAGCAGGGAUAUCCUUAUAAGACGAGAAGACCCCAUGGAGCUUUAAGCCCGGUAACAACCCCCUCCAUUUAUUCCCUUUUAGACUAAAAGACCUUGCUUACCACUUUAGGUUGGGGCGACCACGAAGUACACUAAAACCUUCACGAUAAAAGGAGCCUGCUCCUUAUCUACGAGCUACCCCUCUAAGAAUCAGAACCCCGAUAUAAAAUGAUCCGAUCUAAUCGAUCAACGAACCAAGUUACCCUGGGGAUAACAGCGCAAUCCAUUUUAAGAGUUCUUAUCGCCAAAUGGGUUUACGACCUCGAUGUUGGAUCAGGGUAUCCUGGUGGUGCAACCGCUACUAACGGUUCGUUUGUUCAACGAUUAAAACCCU